UGGGAGUUGCUGAGAUCGUCGAAUGAGGUGGUCUCGAAAACCGUUGUACGCCUCGCAUACGCAGGGUUCGAAUCCCUGACUCUCAGCCA
rnacentral:tRNA from 1 species